GCCCAGGGCAACCACCAGGCAGUACCUGUGAACACAGAGUUCAGGGAUCUUUAAUGUGGAUUUAUUCACUUGUCAUAAUGGUAGCACCAACAUUAGCAAUUCACUACAAUUUAUUAUCAGAUCACUUCCAGAAUUCAAGUCCAUAUGCAUAGCCCUACUUCUAAUAGCAGGACCCCAGAGCUUAAUACAUAACUUCACUGGCAUUGUUGAAGAAUUAUUUAUCAUCUGUCUAAAUUCAUGCUUCAUGCAGUAGCAGGUCCCACGAAGCUACUGGGGGAAAAGACACAUGGAGCGGAGGAAAAUUUAAAGGACAUUUCACCAUAGACUAGUGAUAUGUCCUUCAUUCAACACAUGUAGUGGUGGGUAUUCCCUGAAUGGACACAAGUCUAUGUAUUUGUUUGGGUGUUGUUUGUAUUUGAGUUUGGGUGUGCAAUGGCCUUGAGUGUGUACGUGCACGAGUGCUCACACAUGGUUAAGUACUACUUUUACUUUAGGCCUAUAGAUAAUGAGCUUACAGGCACUGAUCACAAAAGCCACACAAAUCCACAUACCCCUUUAACUAGAGCCGUUAACACCCUUGGGUGAAACCUAUAGGCUCCACAAGAAGCAGGCCCCUCAGUGUAAACGACCAGAGUUAUAUCAUAGAAGUCGCUCAGACUCAGACCCAUUACUUGGCUUCAGUGCAUACUGGCUCUCAAAAGCUUUGUUACCAGGACAGGACCACAGCUAAAUCAUAAAUCACACUGUAAGAAUAAAACUGAUGGUUCUGUGAAUAUAUUGGCCAUUGGGUUCUUGUCUAACAGCACCAACACAGAAGAAGCAAUGUGUAGGUACACAUUCCUGCAGUCUUACAGUCAGUCUACUUAAGAGCUCCUUCAACACAUCUUCAAGCAUGGUCUCCACGCCCAUAUUGAUAACUUGGUGACCCUCGUCUGUGUGUUGGCGUCGGGGUUUAAGCUGUGGUUUUGAUUGGCCAUUAAGAGUUCUGUUGGCCUUGUAUGGAACUCUGGCUCUCCUCGAUUUCAGUGGUGUGGCUGGACACGGGCAAAAGGGGUGAUGUUAGCAAGAAGCAAUGUGUAGGUACACAUUCCUGCAGUCUUACAGUCAGUCUACUUAAGAGCUCCUUCAACACAUCUUCAAGCAUGGUCUCCACGCCCAUAUUGAUAACUUGGUGACCCUCGUCUGUGUGUUGGCGUCGGGGUUUAAGCUGUGGUUUUGAUUGGCCAUUAAGAGUUCUGUUGGCCUUGUAUGGAACUCUGGCUCUCCUCGAUUUCAGUGGUGUGGCUGGACACGGGCAAAAGGGGUGAUGUUAACUUUGAGGGAGAGUCUGAUGGAGAUGGAGGUGGACAUGGAGCAUGUGUCCCUAUAGAAAUUCACAACAUAAACCAAAAUAUUAAACCUGGAUUUACCUUAAAAGUCCUCAGUCAACAAGUGCUGUGUUUCAAUGCAUUUGAAUUAUAUGGCAUAAUAUGUAGUUACUGUACUGCAUGUUGUGCAUAUUUUCAACACGGUGGCCUAUAUUAAGCAUUGUAUAUUCAGUUGGAAAUGACACACUUAACACAUGUGCUAAACAAUACAAUGCACAGUAUAUCUACUGAGUAUGUUUAUAGUCGAUAUCAUAAUAGUACCAGAACAAGUCUG